UGGGGAAUCUUGCACAAUGGGGGAAACCCUGAUGCAGCGAUGCCGCGUGAGUGAAGAAGGCCCUUGGGUUGUAAAGCUCUUUCGUCGGGGAAGAAAAUGGCCGGAUUAAUACCCCGGGUUUUUGACGUUACCUGCAGAAGAAGCACCGGCUAACUCCGUGCCAGCAGCCGCGGUAAUACGGAGGGUGCAAGCGUUAAUCGGAAUUACUGGGCGUAAAGCGCGCGUAGGCGGUCUGGUCAGUCAGAUGUGAAAGCCCCGGGCUCAACCUGGGAAUUGCAUUUGAUACUGCCAGACUCGAGUGUGGUAGAGGGAAGUGGAAUUCCGAGUGUAGCGGUGAAAUGCGUAGAUAUCAGGAGGAACACCAAUGGCGAAGGCAGCUUUCUGGCUCGAUACUGACGCUGAGGGACGAAAGCGUGGGGAGCGAACAGG
rnacentral:rRNA from 1 species